GAUGAACGCUGGCGGCGUGCCUAAUACAUGCAAGUCGAGCGAACAGACGAGGAGCUUGCUCCUCUGACGUUAGUGGCGGACGGGUGAGUAACACGUGGAUAACCUACCUAUAAGACUGGGAUAACUUCGGGAAACCGGAGCUAAUACCGGAUAAUAUAUUGAACCGCAUGGUUCAAUAGUGAAAGACGGUUUUGCUGUCACUUAUAGAUGGAUCCGCGCCGCAUUAGCUAGUUGGUAAGGUAACGGCUUACCAAGGCAACGAUGCGUAGCCGACCUGAGAGGGUGAUCGGCCACACUGGACCUGAGACACGUUCCAGACUCCACGGGAGGCAGCAGUAGGGAAUCUUCCGCAAUGGGCGAAAGCUUGACGGAGCAACGCCGCGUGAGUGAUGAAGGUCUUCGGAUCGUAAAACUCUGUUAUUAGGGAAGAACAAAUGUGUAAGUAACUAUGCACGUCUUGACGGUACCUAAUCAGAAAGCCACGGCUAACUACGUG
rnacentral:rRNA from 1 species